rnacentral:rRNA from 1 species
AUCGCUAGAGGAACCCCCAGGUCGAGAGAGGUCGGAGGUACUCCUGGGGUAGCGGUGAAAUGCUAUAAUCCUGGGGGGACCACCAGUGGCGAAAGCGUCCGACCAGAGCGAGCCUGACGGUAAGGGACGAAAGCCAGGGGAGCGAACGGGAUUAGAUACCCCGGUAGUCCUGGCCGUAAACGCUGUGGGCUAGGUGUUGCAUGCUCUACGAGGGCAUGCAGUGCCGAAGAGAAGUUGAUAAGCCUACCGCCUGGGAAGUACUAUCGCAAGAUAGAAACUUAAAGGAAUUGGCGGGGGAGCACCACAAGGGGUGAAGUCUGCGGUUCAAUUGGAUUCAACGCCGGAAAUCUCACUGGAAGCGA